UGAGAAAAAGAAGGCAGAAAAGAUUCUCCAAAAUAUGCAGUCAUCAGAAGGAACGAAGGAAUAACUUGCAGUGGAGCUGUGGAGACAUGAGAUGAGGUCCAGCUCCUGGGCCGUCAUGUCAGCAGGUUUGCAGUGAAAGGAUUCCAUUGAGAUAUGGAUAUGGAUGAAGACAUUUUUCCAUAAUGACUCAAACAACUGUCCUGACCCAUCUAAAAUUCCUCGUCUCAGUAAGAGAGGUAAUCCUGAAAAUAUGUAUAGCCCAGGAGAUAGUUCAGCUACACCG